GACCUCGGAUCAGGUAGGGAUGCCCGCUGAACUUAAGCAUAUCAAUAAGCGGAGGAAAAGAAACCAACAGGGAUUGCCUCAGUAACGGCGAGUGAAGCGGCAACAGCUCAAAUUUGAAAUCUGGCCUUCGGGUCCGAGUUGUAAUUUGCAGAGGAUGCUUCGAGCAUGGUCUAGUCUAAGUUCCUUGGAAUAGGACGUCAUAGAGGGUGAGAAUCCCGUAUGCGACUGGGUGCCUAAGCUCAUGUGAAGCUCCUUCGACGAGUCGAGUUGUUUGGGAAUGCAGCUCAAAAUGGGUGGUAAAUUUCAUCUAAAGCUAAAUAUUGGCCAGAGACCGAUAGCGCACAAGUAGAGUGAUCGAAAGAUGAAAAGCACUUUGGAAAGAGAGUUAAAUAGCACGUGAAAUUGUUGAAAGGGAAGCGCUUGCAAUCAG
rnacentral:rRNA from 1 species